rnacentral:lncRNA from 10 species
UAGGGAAAUCCAUAGAGGCAGAAAACAGGCUGGUGCGUUGCCAGGGCCUGGGAGGAAAGAGGAAUGGGGAGUGGCUGCUUCUUGAGUAUAGGGUUUCUUUUUGGGAUGGUGAAAAUGUUCUGAAAUUAGAUGUUGAUGAUGGUUGCACGACUCUGAAUACACUAAAAACCACUGAUUGUACACUUCAAAGAGGUGAAUUUUACGGUAUGUGAAUUAUAUCUUAUUUUUAUUUUUUAAUCUUUU